rnacentral:rRNA from 1 species
UACGUAGGGGUCGAGCGUUGUCCGGACUUACUGGGCGUAAAGCGUGGGUAGGUGGUCUGGGAUGUGCCGUGUGAAAGCCCCGCGUUCAUCGCGGGGAGGUCGCGGUAGACACUCGGACUGGAGGCAUGGAGAGGGCAGUGGAAUUCCCGGUGUAGUGGUGAAAUGCGUAGAUAUCGGGAGGAACACCAGUGGCGCAAGCGGCUGCCUGGCCAUGACCUGACACUGAGCCACGACGGCGUGGGGAGCAAACGGG